UCCGUUAAACUAGAGUCUUUGUAGAAAGUUUCACUAACACCUAUCACAUCAAUGUCACUUUCACUAAAAGUAUGACAAAAUUCAGCAUGAUGCACACUAUUGUGCAGUGACUGUGCAUUUAUGUGAAUUAUUUUAAACAAUUUAUUGUUGGUACUACUUAAAUUACAAACAUACUCUUGUAAGUUGACAGCUUCGUUUACACACAUACAGUGUGGCAAGGUCGAUGCCCACGACCAUUUUUAAUUAGGGGUGCCAGUGCCAGGAGCUCCCGCUGACCCCCGCACCGCCACCAUCAAGGACAAGAUCGACGUCAUUCUCGCCCGGCGUCUGCACGGCCUGGCCGCGGCCGCCAAGGUCGUGUCCUGUGCGGGCGCGGUCGCCGGCAUGCACCACGUCGCCGGUGAGCGCCCGCCAAGGUGGACGCCCUGCAGGACGAGCACGGCGUCACGCUCACGAGCACCGACGCCAUGCUCCAGCACGCGCAGCAGCACUUCGAGACGCUGCUUUAUCACGCACCAGCCUCCGCAGCACCUGCGGAGCCGGUCAUCCUCCACGAAGUCAUCUAACCAGUCAUGAACGAGGAAGACAACCAGCAGCUGCUCACAGGCCCGUCACCACCGAGGAGCUCGAGAGCGCGCUGCAGUCAUCACCUACAGGUAAAUCUCCCGGUGAUGAUGGGCUAACAGCUGAAUUCUAUUGUACAGUGUGGGACACCAUCAAGGACGACUUCGUGGACGUGUGCAACGCCAUGCUGCAGCGCCGCGCGGUCGCCUCGAGCCACACUCGCGGGGUCCUGACCUUGACCCCAAGGCAAGGGUGGGACCGCAGGAGGGGCACCAAGCCUUUUCCAGAUGCGGCCCAUCACCCUCCUCAACGUGGACUGCAAGGUGUUUUCGCGACUCGUAACGCGGCGGCUCUGCACGCUGCAGAGCAAAAUGCUUGACCCGAUGCAGGUGCGGGGCGGCGGCGGCGCGAGGGACAUGCACGGCUCCCUUGCUGACCUUAGGGACGCGGCGGUCGAUCUGGCCGACCGGCAGCGGGGCAACAAGACCAAGGCGUGCCUCGUGUCGGUGGACUUCGCCGGCGCCUUCAACAGCGUCGCGCACGACUACAUUUGGGCGGUGCUGCGCCGAUACGGCGUCUCCAAGGACUUCGUGGAGCUGCUGGUGACCAUGUACUCCGGGGCCAAGACGCGCAUCCAGCUAAACGGCGUGCUGUCUGCAGCAGUGCUCCUGCCGCGGGGUAAGGCAAGGGUGCCCGUUGUCGAUGAUAAUUUUCAACAUCAUUAUGUCUCCCCUUAUAAAGGUGCUCAACAAGAGGCUCGUCGGGCUCACCAUCCCCGACGUUAUCGACAGAGGCGCCACGCCCCGCCUUGCCGCGACGGCGUAUGUGUACGACGUGACCGUGAUCCUGGACAACGCCGACGAGGUCGAGGUGCUGUCUAAUGCCCUGGAGCACUUCGGGAGGGACGGAGUCCGGGCUGCGUGUCAACGCCGCAAAGUCCAAGGCUCUCCCGCUCGGGUCAGGACGCACUUGUUGACGCCAGGCUCCGAGUAUUUAAUAUCUGACAGCGGGCACAGUACUGCAACACAUAUGCCCUGUCCAUUUAGUGGCACACAGCUCAGAUACUGCCGCUCCCUGCCGGCACCCUGCAGGACGUCAGAAAGGCCCUGUCAGCGCUGCUCUGGGCCGGGGAGCCCCUUCGCAUUGCCUUCGAUGUGCUGGUGUUUCCUGCAAGCCGGGGCGGUCUCGGCCUCCACAUACCCAGUUGCCAAGGCUAGGGCCAUGUUCACACAAGUUCACGCCUACGUCGCAGCGCGCGGCCGAGCCCUCGCUAUCCGGUGGCUGGCUCUCCAUCCUCGACACACUAUAUGGCGAUGGCGAGCAGAGAGUGUUAUAGAGAAAAAAUGUCGUCCACCGAUGAUGGUGUGUUGCGGCUCGAUUGUACGGACUCCUGAGAGGAAGAACAAGUGCGUGUCAACAUACGCUUUAAGGGGGAGAGGCCCCCCGAGACCCCCUCAGUCCCAACCCCUCCCUCCGACUAGUCAGCGGGGCCAUCAUCGCGCCCCACUGCGACAGAAGAUGACAUGGCCAAGGAGGUAGGGCGCGCCUUUGCGUCGAGGAUCGCCAUCGUCCACACCCAACCCCGCAUCCCUGUUCGUGAGAGGCUCGGCGUGCGUGAGGUGGAGGAGGAUGACCCCACCCCGGCAGAGCGUGGCCGCGGGCUAGGCCGCGGUUCGUGGCGCGGCCGCCGAUUCAUCGGCCCCCCUCCUCAGCGCGAACCUGUUCACAGCCGUCUGGGCGAGCAAGGGGACCAACAGUGGCGCGGCCCCGGAUUGCGCCUGGCCGCCACUGCCCGCCCAGUCCGCGCAGCCGUUGACGCUUCCCCCGCCCCCAAGCCAGCCAUCACAGUCGCAGCCAUGAGGGACGCCGUCAGGCGGGCCGAGGCGGCAGCAGAGCGGUGGGUCGCCAAGAAGGCCACCAAAGGCGGCCACCGAGGCCGUGCGUGAGGCGGCGGAGGCACCGGUGAGUAUCACUUCGUCCUCAUGAUUCUCUAUUGUUUG